GGGGUUGGGUGCACUUAAUGGGUCUCCACUCCAGGAGUAAGGGGACCUGGUCAGGAGGGAAGUGCACUGUCCCGUGGCUCCCUGAGUGCCCUUGAGCCCUCCAGGGCUUCUGCCUGCCCGUCUGAUGGAGAGGGUAUGAGACUUCAGGUUCUAUUAGGGCCUUUGAGGCCCUAACAUCCAGGAGUUCUCGAAGUCUAUGAUUAGCUUGGAUGAGCCCAGAGAAUCCUUCCCAGCACAGCCUCUGGGUGCCUACUAUCAACCAGAUUUGCAGUGCAAAAUGAGACCUACCAACCAUCCUCAGACAAGAUCAUCUCCAAGGGGCCAGCGUGAAGUGGGGACUCAAUAAAUAUUUUGGAUGAAUGGA